CGACACGGCAGAAAUUAUAUACGUUAUCAUUUUUAUUUUAUAUUUUCCACGCUGUUCUUAUGUUUAUUUAUAUUGUGUUAGAGAAGACACUAGAACACUGCUCAAUAUUAAGUAACAUCUAUUCAUCUAGUCAUGUGAUGAACUGUAUAAAAGCCGAUGUUGCAUGUACUCUGCGCGGUCAUUUAUAUACUUACUGGCAGAGUGGAGUACCAGCUCAGAUUUCUAUGGCCGUAUCUGAGCAGCCAGUUACUAGCGGAGAAAGCGAGUCUGGAUAUUGUUCUAGUUUUUCACCAGUUUUGUCCAGUUUCUGUUCAGUUUCUGUUCGGAUUCUGUUCAGUUCUGUUCACUGCGUGAAUAAACGGCAGUAUUAUCCAAUGGUGUUGCUUCAUUUACUCGUGGUCCGCUACAGUGAAAAACUAGAACAACCCAAGGCUGGGUUAUAUUGGAGGGUUCUCUAGAGGGAAACUUGCCAUCCCGAGGUUGGGAUACACCGGAGAACUCGACAAGUGCUAAUCUUGUUUCCCCGAGGGUACACGCUGUUUCACCGUCACACUAGACCAUGACUGACACAGGAGAGGA